rnacentral:rRNA from 1 species
CAUCGCCUCUUGCUCCAAAUAUAAGAGGUCCAGCCUGCCCAGUGACAUAGUUUAACGGCCGCGGUACCCUAACCGUGCGAAGGUAGCAUAAUCACUUGUUCUUUAAAUAAGGACUCGUAUCAACGGCAUCACGAGGGCUGUACUGUCUCCUUUCUCCAAUCAGUGAAACUGAUCUCCCCGUGAAGAAGCGGGGAUUGACCUAUAAGACGAGAAGACCCCAUGGAGCUUUAAACCCAACACACACCUCUACUCACUCAAAUCAGCAUAACCCAAGAGACUUAUGUGUUGGUUUUAGGUUGGGGGGACCGCGGAGUAAAAUCAAACCUCCAUGACAGACGGACUAACACCCUUAUCCAUGAACCACAAUUCUAAGAGCCAAUAAAUUGUUGUCUAAUGACCCAAUUACUUGAUCAACGAACCAAGUUACCCUGGGGAUAACAGCGCAAUCUACUUCAAGAGCCCCUAUCGACAAGUAGGUUUACGACCUCGAUGUUGGAUCAGGGUAUCCUAGUGGUGCAGCCGCUACUAAAGG